rnacentral:rRNA from 1 species
GUCUGUGGUGAUACUACCCUGAAAGUGCCUGAUUUUGAAAGCUAAGCAAGAUUAGACAUGAUUAGUACUUGGAUGGGAGUCUAUUCUUCUAUGAAAACAUUAUUCAACUGAUA